UACGUAGGGGGCAAGCGUUGUCCGGAAUCAUUGGGCGUAAAGAGCGUGUAGGCGGCUCGGUAAGUCCGCUCUGAAAGCCCGGGGGCUCAACCCCGGGAGGCGGGCGGAUACUGUCGGGCUAGAGUCCGGAAGAGGCGAGUGGAAUUCCUGGUGUAGCGGUGAAAUGCGCAGAUAUCAGGAGGAACACCAAUGGCGAAGGCAGCUCGCUGGGACGGUACUGACGCUGAGACGCGAAAGCGUGGGGAGCAAACAGG
rnacentral:rRNA from 1 species